rnacentral:rRNA from 1 species
CGGACGUAGGUAACCUGCCUGGUAGCGGGGGAUAACUAUUGGAAACGAUAGCUAAUACCGCAUAAAAUAGGAUUAUUGCAUGAUAGUCAAUUGAAAAGGGUAGGCAACUGCACCACUACCAGAUGGACCUGCGUUGUAUUAGCUAGUUGGUGGGGUAACGGCUCACCAAGGCGACGAUACAUAGCCGACCUGAGAGGGUGAUCGGCCACACUGGGACUGAGACACGGCCCAG